AACGAACGCUGGCGGCAGGCUUAACACAUGCAAGUCGAACGCAUCCUUCGGGGUGAGUGGCAGACGGGUGAGUAACGCGUGGGAACGUGCCCUUCAGUUCGGGAUAACCCAGGGAAACUUGGGCUAAUACCGGAUACGUGCGUGAGCAGAAAGAUUUAUCGCUGAAGGAUCGGCCCGCGUCUGAUUAGCUAGUUGGUGGGGUAAUGGCCCACCAAGGCGACGAUCAGUAGCUGGUCUGAGAGGAUGAUCAGCCACAUUGGGACUGAGAACACGGCCCAAACUCCUACGGGAGGCAGCAGUGGGGAAUACUGGACAAUGGGCGCAAGCCUGAUCCAGCCAUGCCGCGUGAGUGAUGAAGGCCUUAGGGUUGUAAAGCUCUUUCGUCCGGGACGAUAAUGACGGUACCGGAAGAAGAAGCCCCGGCUAACUUCGUGCCAGCAGCCGCCGUAA
rnacentral:rRNA from 1 species